rnacentral:tRNA from 1 species
GGCAGGUUGCCCGAGUGGCCAAAGGGAGCGGUCUGUAAAACCGCCGGCUUCGCCUACCCAGGUUCGAACCCUGGACCUGCCACCA